GUAGGUGGCAAGCGUUGUCCGGAAUUAUUGGGCGUAAAGCGCGCGCAGGCGGUUCUUUAAGUCUGAUGUGAAAGCCCACGGCUCAACCGUGGAGGGUCAUUGGAAACUGGAGAACUUGAGUACAGAAGAGGAAAGCGGAAUUCCACGUGUAGCGGUGAAAUGCGUAGAGAUGUGGAGGAACACCAGUGGCGAAGGCGGCUUUCUGGUCUGUAACUGACGCUGAGGCGCGAAAGCGUGGGGAGCAAACAGGAUUAGAUACCCUGGUAGUCCACGCCGUAAGCGAUGAGUGCUAAGUGUUAGGGGGUUUCCGCCCCUUAGUGCUGCAGCUAACGCAUUAGGCACUCCGCCUGGGAGUACGGCCGCAAGGCUG
rnacentral:rRNA from 1 species